CAAUAGAGUGCUUACAGCUUGAUUGUUGUCAAGGAAGUGGUGAGUAACAGUUUGAGAAGCUUUUGCAGCUUGUAUCCCGAUACCACUCACUUAAUUAGCCCGGAAAGUGACGAAAAGUUCCAUCCUGAUCACGUUACCCUGGAAGCUUGCUGUCCUUUGUCCAUUUAUUCUUGGAAGGGUGAGCAACUCUAAUGUUAAUCGAGCACAAAAUUUCUAAACAGAUCAUUUAAAGGAAUCAGAGGCCUGAGUUUAGACACAAGGCUGUGAUUGGAUGACAGUACAGAUCCAUCAUGCACUCUUGUCUGCUCCCAACUGAUGAGGGCCGCACGUCUACAGAGAGACACAGAAGUGCUGCUGCAGCCCAACACCAGGGUCACAAGAUGCACCCAAACGUUUGAAGAAAAUUUCCAGCAGAUGCAGUGCCUUACCUCUGCAUAUCUCCCUGCGGUAAGAAACAAACCUUAUUUAGUGCGUCUUACUUUGAGGAACACGUGGGUCCUUUUUCCUUCUAAUUUGUUGCAUUUGUCUGGUAUU